UCUUCUGUUCGAUUUCUGCAGAGUGAUUGUGAGUUGCGUGUGAUGAUAUCGAAGUAAAUCAUAUGAAGAAGAGAUGGAUUAGGAAGUAACUGUUGGUGGAGGUGUAGAUCGAGACAAGAAGAAGUGGAUGCUGUUAUAAAUAGAAUUAGGGCUGGCAUGAUGAUUGAGAGGUGAAAUAGGUUGUUGUUAGAUGAGGAACAUAAGGGUUGUAGUCGAAUUGAAGUUAUGAAGUGGAUUCUGUGAAGAAUCGAAGGGUUAGAGUUUCUGCAAAUUGAAUUGAAAUUCAAUUUAGGGUCUUAUGAAAUUAAACUCAAAGAAGAUUUAUUUGAGGUCUAAGGGGGAUGAUUGAAGGAUGGGUUUUGAAGAUUAGGAGUUGAAGAAUAGAUUAGUGAUGUUGAUUUGAAGAUACAGUUACAAAGAAGUUAAGAAGAUCGGAAUUAGAGUUUCUCUGAGAAGAUUUAGAAAGUGAAGCAGAUGCUAUGAUAAAUGAUUAGGAGUGGGUUUAGUAGAUUUAGGAACGGGGUGAAGUUAAUUAAAUGUUGGAGUUGUUCUGAAGUUAAAUCGAGGAUGAAUCAGAUAGUUAGGGUUUACUGUAUUUUGAUUUGGAACUUGAUUCGAGUAAGAAUUAAAAAGAGUUAGAUGGAAUUAUGAGACGGGUUUGUUUAAUUGAGGCUUCUGAAGUUGUUGUGGUGAUAAAUUGAGAAAAUCAGAGUUUCAGCUCUGUGAAAGAAAUAAAAGAGAAUUAGGGUUCUUGAGUCUCAACUACAGAUAAAUAAGAUGUAAGUGACGGUUUAGAUAAUUGUUUGGAAAUGGGUUCUAUGGAUAUGAAGAAUUGGGUUGUUGUUCUUAGUUCGAGUUAGAGAAGUUUUAGAGUUAAGGAUUGGGUGUGAUGAUUGGAAGUGCAGUUAAGGUGUUGUAAUUGGUUGGAAGAUCAGCUGGGUGUGUAUGUUGAUUGUUGCAGGACAUGUGUGUUGCUUUGAAUGCAUCCAAAAAUUAUUAAUGAAGACUAAAUGGUUGAGGUAAUGAUUCUCCUCUGUAAUCUUAGUUAGGUAUUAAAAUUUCUAGUCGUUGAAGUUAUGAAAUGCCAUGAACUAAGAUGUGAUUUGGUGGUGGUUAUGUAGUUGUCAUCUUAAUUCUGAACUGAAGUAUGGACUUGUGGAUGUUGAUAAUUCUAGGAUGUUUAGACGAUUAAUGAUUUGAGUCUAAGGAAGGUGUUGCUGCUGUUGUUGUUUUGUUGUUGAUGGAUGAGAGAUUUGAAGAGAUGGGUGUGAGUAAUUGUGUUUAUGGAUUGAGUAUGGUCUCAAAUGAAUUGUUGCAGGUGGUGGUGUUUAUGAGUAACAUGCCUUUAGAGAUGAAACUGUUAGUGUUAAUACUCAAUGGAGAAGGGCUAGAUGGAGUUGCAUUUGUUGAAGUGGUGUUGUAUCAUCACAGUGAAUGGGGAAGAGAUGGUGUUGCUACAUUUGUUUGUGCAAUGAACUGAGUUAAUGGAUUGUAGAAGUUUGAAUGGCAAGCAGUGUGGGUGCUGACAUGAAUUUAGUAUUUAAGAGGUAUUAGGUGAUGGAACUGGGAUGUUAUUACAGUUCAUUAGAAUGUGUUAAUGUUAUGAGAGUUGUGGUUGAGCUGAGGGAUAAGGGGAUUGUGAAAUUGUAUGAUGUUGUAGAAUGAAGAGAGGUUAGAUGGUUGAUUAUACAGUUGUAGAUAGUGUUUCUGUGAAAGCUUGGAACUGCAAUGUCAGUUUCAGAGACAGAUCAAAAUUGCGCAGCGAAAGCUUCGAGGAGUUGAGUCCGUUAGUUGGUUGACUUUCACUAUAUUUAUUAUAUUAUAUGUUGUAUUUGUAAACCAAAUGACUAUUGUAUAUGUAUCAUUGGAGAGGAGUUCUUGUAUAUAUAUAUUUCUGAGCGGGCUAGUUUUGGGUUAAGUUUUGUAGCAGAUUUCUUAAUUGAAUGUUUAAGUAAUUGAUUUA